ACGGGCGGAACUCGGAUGCCGCGGAAUUCUUGUUGUGCUUCUCUUUUUACUCUACAAUUACUGAUGGACUUCAGACAAUGACAUGUAGGGUUCAAGUCGAGUAUUGCGUGCAUCACCUAUUCAAAAGAAAAGUCAACAAGGCUACUAGGCUAACUUCGCGGUGUGCGAGAUGAGUUUGCGUUUAAAGUCUUAUGAAGGGAGAAAAUCAAUAUUGCAGGUUAGAUGAAAUGCAUGCAUUUCUAGUAUCAUCUAUGGUACUAAAGCUAAUCAGCUCCAAUAGAUAAUCAAUAAGUGCAUGGCUGUUUUUGACAGUGCAGCUGUUUCUCCAUUUUUAAGCCUAAUUCACACUGUUGAGCUUAUGCUUCUGGAAUCGGUUUCUGCAACGUACAACUUAUUGAUUCAAUGGGAAAAAUAAAAAAGUGGCAUGAGUUGCAGAAACUCGUUCAAAUUUUGCAAGUACAAAAAAAAAAAUUGGCUCUAGCGUGACGGGUUUUUUAAAACCGUAUCUUGGAGUAGCCGUGGAAUUUCCGAAAAUAAAACUCAACCCAGGCUUUCCGGCUUUCCCGGUGCGGAAGUCGAAAUUCAAUGUUUGUGCUAGGAGGCAAACAGCAAAGAAAUUCAAACAAAACUAUAAAAUUGUACAUUUAGUCUACUCGACGCCAAAAUUUGUGCUAUUGUUCCAGCCAAUAGUCUUUCCAUUGAUUUUUUUUUAAUAAUUUGAAAUUACAAAACACAAAGAAGAAGAACUUCAAAAAAAGUUUGGAUCUCCAAACGAAGCCAUACAAGUAUUCCCGUUUCUUUCUUUGUAAAAUUUCCAAUGGCAAUUGUAUUCAUUGGAGUCUCACAAUCGUAAUUGAUUUCCUUGAAUAAUUCAUUACGACGCAGAAUGUAUUCAAAAUGAAUUAAACAUUCGGAAUGUGAAAAGAAAUCGUUAAAAAAGACCAGUGACUAAAAACUGUAUGGAAAACAUUCCACGAAAAUAAAUCAUUUGAAUAAGUGAACAGAAUUUUUGGUGUUUACGGAAACAACUACAACUCCCUACUCGUUAUUAAAUUAGGUACGUCGGUGGCGGGCGUCGAUCGAUAAUAAGGUUCUUUUUCAUACAGGCAAGUCGGUAGACGUGCAGUUGUCAUUCCCGAAUAAGCAGCAAGUCUUCAAAACCUUUCAAAAAUAUCAAAGACGGGCAAACUUUUAGCCUGCGCGUACCUUUUUGUUUUCAUUCAGAUUAGAAUGAAAACAAGUACAGAGGCGUGCUAUCCGGUGGUAGCUCAACCAGUGAGCAUCCACAUUUUUCCGCUCAAUAUUACACCUCCCCCGAACGACGCAGGUAUAUACGAAUAUCAAUACCCACCAUAUCGGCUUCUUUUUUUUUCGCUUUAUUAAAACCGCCUUAUGCUCGUAAAAACAAACUUUCUUGCUAUUUAAGAAACUACAGAAUUGCUAUUUUAAAAAAACUGUCGGUGCCACAGCGGCGGCAACAUUUCUGUCAUUUUCCAAAGUUUUUUUUCCCCAAAUAGGAUGGAAAAACUUGUAAAAAAAUAUACACAAAAAAAAAAAACAAAAAAAACAAAACAGGCUUGUUAGGUAGCUGUUCUUCCCCUCGGUUUACUUCGGUAUGUUAUGUGAUGUGUGGUUUUGCGGUCCCUCAAGCAUAAAGAUCACCCCUGUGUUCGAGGAACCGGAUCCUGCUGGCCUCGUUCAAAUACCUAUACGACAACGCACACGUUUUAAAUCGCUGAACGAUUUUCUUUUUUAAAAACAGUUUUUGUUUUGCAACUGCGAUAUUGACCAUCUGUCUGCGACACGUAGUCUACAUUGUUAACCAAGAAAGCAUUUUGUUAAAGGCUAAUAUUAGCCAACGACAAACAGAAUUUUUUUUUCUGACACGAGAUGUGCGCUAGAACAACUAGAUUCUACCACGCAGGUGCCAGCACCUGUCUUUUAAGCAGCCUAAAGUUGCUUUACGGCACGUUCAAGUCCUGGAACGUAGACGCCCUUUAGAUUACCCAUGACGUUUUGCCGGUCAGGGCGAAAGGAGGGAAACUGGGCCAGUUUACGUCAUCGGGCAAGGGCAUGAGUACGUUCGACAUGCAUCGCAAUUUGCAGUGACCGAAAAACAGCAAAAAGGCGAGUGAAACAAAAUUCUAGUUUAUCAGCUGCGAUUGCAAACCAGCUGCCUUGCAAAACAUGAAUCGACAAUGCGCAUUCCAUUUUACUUGGUCAGAAGUUCUGAUUUGAAUUGCACCAAUAAAUGGGACAAGUGAAUUGCGCAAUUUAAGAGAGUUCUAUAAUAAAAACUAUCAGUUACAGAGAUAGGACAAUCGUGAUCAAUUGAAUAAUUUUUAAAAGAAAGGCUGUUUGUUUUUGGAAUUGCAAGGUAUAAAAAAAAAAAAAAAAAAAGAUUAGCUGACAUAAACAACCACACCCUCGUCCGUGUUAAAAGGGAUUUCAAAUGUUCUGUAACAGACAUGCCUAUCGGUAAAAAUCUACGGGGACUUUAUGCCACAACCCAUAAAUUGCAUACGACGCAGUUGGUUUAAUAAACCAAGUGGAAAACGUGUGAACAAAUUUACACGUACGAACAACUUUGUAGAAAUGCUGUCAACGCGCUUUUAUGCUUCUACAGGAUAUGCUUUUGAAUAGAAUGUGGUCCUUUGCUGAACUGUUUACAUAUUCAUCAACACGAAUCGAAUUCUACAUCACGCAUGCUGGCUAUUUGGUACGUCCGUGCGGCGGUGAGCAUCUUUCAAUUGAUAGCGUAGAUGUGAAGGACUUGGUGGUGGGGCAAUGUGGAAAAAAGGAAGCUACAAUGUUUCAAACAAACAAUUCGAUAACAACCAGCUGAGUGUCGUGCUAUCCGCCGAUGAUCAACACGGACAAACUACCAGUAGCGAUUUUCUAACAGUUAGUUUGGGAAAAACUGAACCGGCAUGGACUCGACUGAAAUGGAUUUUAAGAAUACAAGAGAAAUUAACGAUAUGGCUGAUGUGCGCAUUAUUCCUUAUAAUUUUAGUUUUGAUUGGAGUUAUUAUUUGGUUAAGCGUAUCGAUCCACCUAAACAAUCGUGAAAAUAUGCGCACAAUUUCGACUGCUAUGGACUUGUUAAUCAGCCAUAAAUUCAAACAAAAUGAAAAAUUAGAACACUAUUCUGCUGAUGGAAUAGAAAGGGAUAUCGGUGAAAGUUGCGGCUUUUCCUGUGCGGAAAUAUUAAAAGCUACCUUCGAUUUUCACCGAAGACGAGAUAACAAUAGAGGAAACAGACUCGGCAAAAAGUUCGCUACCCAAGCGUCAAUAUGGAACUGCUACAAUACAGUCCACGUCAAAAGAAAACUUCCCAUCGCUAGAAACAAGUCAGCGCACAAAAAGUUCUAGUUGUAACUAUAGCGAAAUCAUCUUGGAAAUGUCUUCGAUAAAUAAAAUCAGCGAAAAUCGGACUGCGGAAAAUGAUUCUGAUUCUAUAGAAGAUUCGUCUGACGAAGAAGAUAAACAGAGAUAAUUGAAUGAUAUAAUUACCGUAGCCUUCGAAAACUUAUGUAAUCGAGCAGACCAAAAAAAACAAACAAACAAUUUUACUUUUUAAUGACUUCUUCAAAGGGUACGUAAAUGAUUAUAUCAAUUCAGAAACCUAUGCUGUAAAGUCUUUUAUGAUUCAUGUGUGUCGCAGUUAAUUAAAAUGUCAGCGGUUAAUGAAAA